GAUGAACGCUGGCGGCGUGCUUAACACAUGCAAGUCGAACGGAAAGGCCCAAGCUUGCUUGGGUUCUCGAGUGGCGAACGGGUGAGUAACACGUGUGUGAUCUGCCCUGCACUUCGGGAUAAGCCUGGGAAACUGGGUCUAAUACCGUAUAGGACCACUCCUUGGAUGUUGUGGUGGAAAGUUUUGUCGGUGUGGGAUGAGCUCGCGGCCUAUCAGCUUGUUGGUGGGGUAAUGGCCUACCAAGGCGUCGACGGGUAGCCGGCCUGAGAGGGUGUACGGCCACAUUGGGACUGAGAUACGGCCCAGACUCCUACGGGAGGCAGCAGUGGGGAAUAUUGCACAAUGGGCGCAAGCCUGAUGCAGCGACGCCGCGUGGGGGAUGACGGCCUUCGGGUUGUAAACUCCUUUCGCUAGGGACGAAGCGUUUUGUGACGGUACCUGGAGAAGAAGCACCGGCUAACUACGUG
rnacentral:rRNA from 1 species